rnacentral:rRNA from 1 species
ACGUAGGGGGCAAGCGUUAUCCGGAUUUACUGGGUGUAAAGGGAGCGCAGACGGCACUGCAAGUCUGAAGUGAAAGCCCGGGGCUCAACCCCGGGACUGCUUUGGAAACUGUAGGGCUAGAGUGCUGGAGAGGCAAGCGGAAUUCCUAGUGUAGCGGUGAAAUGCGUAGAUAUUAGGAAGAACACCAGUGGCGAAGGCGGCUUGCUGGACAGUAACUGACGUUCAGGCUCGAAAGCGUGGGGAGCAAACAG